rnacentral:lncRNA from 1 species
AUAUCUACAUCAAUCUUCUCACAUAUAACUAGUAUAUGGUGUGUAGUUAGAAAAUCUGAGUGAAAAUUGAGUGCAUAUCUUGUAAGGAAUUGAGUGAUUUCUCUAAUGCAUGUUACUACAUCAAAAACAUUGUUUUAAUCGAUUAAUUGUGAACAAGUAAGUAGUGACUAUGAUUAAGUACAUGUUUAAGUGUGAAGAUGAUUCAAAUCUGUGGGGAUAAUGAUUUUUAACAUGUCAUAUGCAUUGGAAUCCCUGAGGCAAAUGUUGAAAGGUUUAGGUUGUAUUUUAUUUGUUUUGUUUUGUUUCGUUUUAUUUCUUUGUUUGCUCGAGGACUAGCAAAAGCUAAGUGUGGGGGAAUUUGAUAGGAGCAUAUUUAUGCGACUUAGUUGGCUUGUUCUAGUGCAUUUAUGUCGUGUUUCCUUAGUUAUUUUAAUGUUUAAAGUCAUUUUCGUGUGUU